AACACAUAGGUGGUGAUAGCUGAGUUUUUCAAGUAAAUCCAUGACGGUAAUUUUCUAUUCCUAACUAUAAAUACAUGGAUUGAAGAUCUCUAUUUCCAAUUUCUUUGACAGAUGACAGCAAAACUAGAUAAAAGAUGUUGGAUUGUGACGAAUCUCUGAUAAAUUUAGAUCAGAUUUCAAAGGAUUUGGAAGAGAUUGAACUGAAAUAUUCGCCGAAAACUGCGAGCACGCAGUUUGAAGUGCCAGCAUGUUUGGGUG